CGCGUAGGCGGUUUGGUCAGUUGGAUGUGAAAGCCCAGGGCUUAACCUUGGAAUUGUAUUCAAUACUGCCAGGCUAGAGUACGGUAGAGGGGGGUAGAAUUCCACGUGUAGCGGUGAAAUGCGUAGAGAUGUGGAGGAAUACCAGUGGCGAAGGCGGCCCCCUGGAUCGAUACUGACGCUGAGGUGCGAAAGCGUGGGGAGCAAACA
rnacentral:rRNA from 1 species